rnacentral:rRNA from 1 species
UACGGGGGGGGCAAGCGUUGUUCGGAAUUACUGGGCGUAAAGGGCUCGUAGGUGGCCAACUAAGUCGGACGUGAAAUCCCUCAGCUUAACUGGGGAACUGCGUCCGAUACUGGAUGGCUUGAGUGUGGGAGAGGAAUGCGGAAUUCCAGGUGUAGCGGUGAAAUGCGUAGAUAUCUGGAGGAACACCGGUGGCGAAGGCGGCAUUCUGGACCAUAACUGACACUGAGAGACGAAAGCCAGGGGAGCAAACGGG